UGAGGAAUCUUGCGCAAUGGGCGAAAGCCUGACGCAGCGACGCCGCGUGGAGGAUGAAGGUCUUCGGAUUGUAAACUCCUGUCGAGUGGGACGAAUGCCGUGAGGGUGAACAAUCCUUGCGGUUGACGGUACCGCUGGAGGAAGCCCCGGCUAACUCCGUGCCAGCAGCCGCGGUAAUACGGAGGGGGCUAGCGUUGUUCGGAAUCAUUGGGCGUAAAGGGCGCGUAGGCGGCUGAUCAAGUCGGAGGUGAAAUCCCUCGGCUCAACUGAGGAAUUGCCUUCGAUACUGUUCGGCUUGAGUCCUGGAGAGGGUAGCGGAAUUCCCGGUGUAGCGGUGAAAUGCGUAGAGACCGGGAAGAACACCAGUGGCGAAGGCGGCUACCUGGACAGGUACUGACGCUGAAGCGCGAAAGCUAGGGGAGCAAACAG
rnacentral:rRNA from 1 species